rnacentral:rRNA from 1 species
AUAACGAGUGUUUAUCGUACCCUUCACUACGGAAUAGUCCCGGGAAACUGGGUUUAAUACCGUAUACGCCCUUCGGGGGAAAGAAUUUCGGUGAGGGAUCGGCCCGCGUUAGAUUAGUUAGUUGGUGGGGUAAUGGCCUACCAAGACUACGAUCUAUAGCUGGUUUGAGAGGAUGAUCAGCAACACUGGGACUGAGACACGGCCCAGACUCCUACGGGAGGCAGCAGUGGGGAAUCUUAGACAAUGGGGGCAACCCUGAUCUAGCGAUGCCGCGUGAGUGAUGAAGGCCUUAGGGUCGUAAAGCUCUUUCGCCUGUGAUGAUAAUGACAGUAGCAGGUAAAGAAACCCCGGCUAACUCCGUGCCAGCAGCCGCGGUAAUACGGAGGGGGUUAGCGUUGUUCGGAAUUACUGGGCGUAAAGCGCACGUAGGCGGAUUAGUCAGUCAGAGGUGAAAUCCCAGGGCUCAACCCUGGAACUGCCUUUGAUACUGCUAGUCUUGAGUUCGAGAGAGGUAAGUGGAAUUCCGAGUGUAGAGGUGAAAUUCGUAGAUAUUCGGAGGAACACCAGUGGCGAAGGCGGCUUACUGGCUCGAUACUGACGCUGAGGUGCGAAAGUGUGGGGAGCAAACAGGAUUAGAUACCCUGGUAGUCCACACCGUAAACGAUGAAUGCCAGUCGUCGGGUAGCAUGCUAUUCGGUGACACACCUAACGGAUUAAGCAUUCCGCCUGGGGAGUACGGUCGCAAGAUUAAAACUCAAAUGGAAUU